GCAGCCCCGGCGCUCCAGCCCUGUGCGGGCAGAGAGGGCUGCAAGGGGAUAACAUGAACCAUCCGCCGCCCCGCUGCUGCUGCCAGGACAGCCUCGUCCCCACCUGAAGGGCCGAUAUCGGAGGAUGAAAGGAUCCACGAGGGAGAUGCGGUAGGAAGGAGUCCAGCCACCUCCCUGGAAUGCAUUCCUUCRGGAAGGGACGAGCUCCCUGCCUUAUUUUAUGGAUGUCCCUGAAGUAGACUUUGAAGGCCUUUGG
rnacentral:lncRNA from 1 species